GACAGAGGGUGCAAACGUUGUUCGGAAUUACUGGGCGUAAAGCGCGUGUAGGCGGCUCGGCAAGUCGGGUGUGAAAGCCCUGGGCUUAACCUAGGAAGUGCACUCGAAACUGCCAAGCUUGAGUUCUGGAGAGGAAGGCGGAAUUCUCGGUGUAGAGGUGAAAUUCGUAGAUAUCGGGAGGAACAUCUGUGGCGAAGGCGACACCCUGGACCAGCACUGACACUGAGGCACGAAAGCGUGGGGAGCAAACAGG
rnacentral:rRNA from 1 species